CCUACGGGAGGCAGCAGUGAGGAAUAUUGGUCAAUGGACGCAACUCUGAACCAGCCAUGCCGCGUGCAGGAAGACGGCUCUAUGGGUUGUAAACUGCUUUUGUACGAGGGUAAACGCAGAUACGCGUAUCUUUAUGCAAGUAUCUUACGAAUAAGCAUCGGCUAACUCCGUGCCAGCAGCCGCGGUAAUACGGAGGAUUCAAGCGUUAUCCGGAUUUAUUGGGGUUAAAGGGGGCGUAGGCGGGUCGAUAAGUUAGCGGUGAAAGCCCGGGGCUCAACCCCGGCACUGCCUCUGAUACUGGCGGGCUAGAGUAUAGGUGGGGUAGGCGGAAUGUAUGGUGUAGCGGUGAAAUGCAUAGAGAUCACGCAGAACACCGAUUGCGAAGGCAUCUUACCAAACUACGACUGACGUUGAGGCACGAAAGCGUGGGUAGCAAACAGGAUUAGAUACCCUUGUAGUC
rnacentral:rRNA from 1 species